ACACCUCAACUCUCAUGGCUUGCCCAUGAUGAGCUUGGACUUUGGGGGUUUUGCUGGCCUGCAGGUCGGCUCCUCUCAAAUGAAUCAGCUUGCCAGUGUUUGGUGGCAUCACGGGUGUGAUAACUAUCUACGCUUGUGGUUUUCCACCAGAUAACCUUCAGUGAUGGAGGUUCGCUGGGGCUCAUAAAUGUCUCUCCUCGGUGAGGACAGCUCUUUGAAC
rnacentral:misc_RNA from 1 species